UUUAUUGAAAUAGGAUGAAAGCAAAACUGAAACCGUCCAAAACCCACCAUGGCCCUCAAACUUGGAAACACAUUUCCUCCCCUCCCAUAUUUCGCAGAGCAAGAAUCCUCAUCUCCUUGCUGCAUAAAAAGGGAGGAAGAUUCAAGGAAAAAGAACUGGAGCAAUCAAUAUUGGAACCCCCAGUCUGCUCAUCAAUCUGUAUUUGCAAGAUGUUGCAGUGUAUGAGAGAGUCAAGAAGAGGCUGUGAGUAUGACAAGAUUCUUGGCAGGGAUUGAUGACUCGGUUGAGGAUGAGAGGGAUUUGGAUCAGAUCAUGGCCGACCAAAGAGCCGCAGAAAUCGAGCGUGAUACCCGCGACGGCGUACAACAACUCGCAAGCUCCCCUCAUCUUCUCCAUGACCAAGGCCUUCAAAAAGGGCGAUGGCUGAUUUCGGGCCUCCAAGAAUCUACGACGAUAAUGAUGGAAUGCAGAGUUCACCGGGAAGAUCACAGCACGGAUACUCCAGAGAGGAUGCCCCAAUGACUGACCAGACUGAUGAUGAUGGCUAUGAGGAUGAUGAUGACCAAGAAGCCGAGUUUGAGAUGUAUCGUGUUCAGGGAACACUCAGGGAGUGGGUACUAGAGAUGAAGUGCAAAGAUUUAUAGCCAAGAAGUUCAAAGAAUUUCUGCUCACCUUUGUGAAUGACAUUGAAUAUGUGCGCCUCAUUAAUGAGAUGGUAUAAGCCAAUAAGUGUAGUCUGGAGAUUGAUUACAAGCAAUUCAUCGGUACUCAUCUCAAUAUUGCCAUUUGGUUGGCUGAUGCUCCCCAGUGUGUCCUGGAAGUCAUGGAAGAUGUUGCCAAGAAUGUGGUGUUUAGUUUACACACCAAUUACAAACGUAUCCGUCAAAAGAUCUACGUUAGGAUAACCAACUGGCCUGUUUACGAUCAGAUUAGCAACAUUCAGUAUUGUGGAGAUUUUUUUUUUUUGCUACCAUCUUUCCUACCUUUUUCCUUUGAGGUGUAAAUGUCAUCCUGCUCUUAUGGUGCGCAGGCAGACCCAUUUGAAUACCAUGAUUCAUAUUGGAGGCGUUGUGACCCGACGCUCUGGGGUCUUUCUCCAAUUGCAACAAGUAAAGUACGAUUGCAAUAAAUGUGGGGCAAUUUUGGGGCCAUUCCUUCAGAACUCUUAUUCAGAAGUUAAAGUUGGUUCUUGCCCUGAAUGCCAAUCAAAAGGACCGUUCAAUGUCAAUAUUGAGCAGUUUUUUUACGCUCUCAUCUUCUUCUUCUUCACUUUUUGGGGUCCAGUCAUUAGUUCAAGAACUCAAAGUCCAGAAUUGCUUCAAUGACUCCGGUUCCAUGCUUUCUAUUUAAUAAUCUUCAAUCUGCAGAGUAUCAACUCUUUAAAUGAUGGAAUCGCCUCUCACCUCUCUCUCUCUGUGAUGCAUAAGAGUUCCAUAAGUAGCAGAGGAAACUAUAUUUAAGGUGUUUUUUUCUGCUGAUAAUUUGUGCCUCCAAAUGUGCCUAACAAAGCCAUGGCUUUAUUUCUCUACGUUCAUGUGUUAGUGAGAAUCCACGAUUUAUAUUUUUGUCUUUCUGGAAGACGUAGGUGACAAAGGAAAAAGAAAGCAAACAAAUCACCCUUUGGGAUACUUUUGGGUUGUUUCUGACUGGAAUUGGGUGUUGGUUUACAUUUGUUAUUUGUCUACACUAUCACUAUUAGUUUCUUCUUUCUUUAUGUUUAUUUUUUGUUAAGUGUCCAGGUCAUUCUAGAUCCAGAUUCAGUUUCAUAU